UGUAAUGUAAUGUAAUGUAAUGUUACAGAGUGGGAGGCUUCUGGGCCGCUUUAUCACAUUGUCAGUUCUACGAUCAUUUAUCAUCUUAUAGCACCAUCCACCACUACCACACUGUACUUCGCCAUACGAACUGUAAGUCCAAGGCGGCGGAUCCAGCCUUCAGGGACCCCUCCUCAUCUAUUCUCCCGAACACUCGAAGAGACGGAGGGUUCGGCAAUCGCCACCAAUCCAGCGUGCGAAUCUAGUCCAUCAAUUGUGUCCUCGACUCCACAUUCCAGUAGCUAGCCAUAAUCUCGCUCCCGACUAAUUCGGGGGUUUCCCCAGGAAUCGAACCCAGGACCUUAAACCGCGU
rnacentral:lncRNA from 1 species